UUAGUCUUUACAUGUAUUUGAAAUAAUCUAUGUCAACAACCAGUUACUUAUUUUGAAGUGCUUCUAUUUUGUAACUAACUGGAUGAUAUCUCCUUGCCAUGUAGAAAAUGCAGCAGUUCAUUCAAAGAAUGAUUUUUCUGUUUUGCAACAUUCAUAUUACAGGCAAAGCAGUGUCAAUUUGUUUAUACUUCAAAUUACCAUCAAGUUUUCCAAAGCAUUCUGAACUGCUAUAAAAAAUUAACAGAAUAAAAUCUGAAAUAAAUGAGCAAGGAGGCAACAUCAGGAGACCUCACUGGUUAGUAUCAAAAUGUUCUCCAACACUUGUUGGCAAUAAACUCCCUGGGAUGCAACCACUCUGAGAAAAUGCACAGAAAUAUGUCCUGACAGCCAAUGGUAUUUAACUGCUCACUCUGUUCAAUGCAAUUUUCUACAAUUAGCCAUAUCUGAUUUGAAGCAUACAUCUUGUAAUAUCUGUGUAAUAUUUCUUCUCUUUAAUCUAGCAGGCAUCAUCUAGCAAAUUUUAUAAAAGAAAAUACUUGCCAAAUAAUAUUAAAAGCUAUUUAGUUUUAAUGUUUCUCAAAGGAUUAUAGCAUAUGAAACUAUAAACAUUGGUUUGAACUGUCUGUGCUAGGUGAAAGGCUUCAUCUCUCACUUAGACUCCAGUCCAGCAAACACUUAUGCACAUAUUGUAGUCCCAUUGAUCUCAAUGGGACUACUCGUGUGUGAAAUCAAGCAUCUGUGUAAGCGGUUUGAGGACUGGGGCCUUAUUCCAGGAAGUGUCAUGACAGCAAUGCCCUGCUGAUUAUGUGGACUUCAUAAAAAUUUUUUUCAGUUUUAUUUUAAGUCAAGUCUCAGUGGUUUGUUUCGACACUAGCCUGUGGAAGUCAUGGAAUAGGAAAGAAUUUCACGUAACACAAACCAGUAUUACUCAACACCAGGGCAAUGAAGGGAAGACACAGAGCAGAAAAAAAAUCACACAUGAAGCUGAAAACCUGCACACAUGCAGACUGGUCUGUAAAGAACCAAUGCUCUUGCAGUAUCCACUGACACCACAGGACCUCAACAGUGUGCACUUUGGCACUCUCCUGACAUGUUCUGUGAUAGGAUAGAAAAAGCAAUGGUGCUCUAGCCAUGAGUCAUGCUGCAAUGGAGAUAUUUUUGCUCAACAUUGGUAUUUCCACCCUGCUCACUGCACUGUGUUCCCAUGCAGCCCUGGUAACAGAAGACCACGAGGAGGCAGCAGAUUGAAGUUGUUCUCUGCAGUCUUUUCUAUGUGGGACAUGGAGCAUUAAGAGAAAAAGUGUUGCCAAUCUACACUAAAUGUACAGAGAGACCAGGAAAAAAAAAACAGACUAAAAAGGAAAAGGUGGUUUAAAAACAGAGAGGCAAAUUAUAAAACUGAAGUAAUUCAAGCAGAAGACUCUCACACCAAUUGACUGGUAGAUGCAUAUCUCACUAAGUAUAUCAGGAAAGGAGCUACAAGAAGGCUGUAAGGGCCCAAUGCUGAAAACCCUAAUUCAACUGGAAAGUCUUUAUGAACUCAGUAACAAAGCUCCUAAGGCAGUAUUCUGAGAGAGGAAAUUAAGGCAGUUAUGAUGAUUCCUUGUUGCUCUUGGUACCUCUGAAAAAAGAACACUGUUUCCUUCGCAGGUAAGGACAUAGCUUUGACCAUUUUCUUGCAGCUUUUAAAAAUUUUUAGACAUUGCAAAGUGAAGUUAAAAAACGUUUUUUUCAUGUCUUUUCAUUCCUUUAUGCAACCAAGUAUCCCAGUAGGAUUUUGACAGAUUUCAUCACUCAGCAUCAAGCUUGGACAGCUGAAAAAAGUGAGCAGAGUUCCUAGAGACUCUGAAGAGAAUAGAAGGGAGGCUCUGAAGAGGAUGGAGUCAGACUCUUCUCAGUGGUGCCAAGGAAUAGGAGAAGAGGCAAGAGGCAGAAACUGGAACACAGAUUGUCAGGAAAACAGGCACAGAUGGCUAGUUUGUAACUUCUUCAGGGCUGAAGUCAGAGUCAAGAAGCAAAGGAAAGAGUGCCUUAAGGAGUAGUGCUAGCAUUGCCAGUGAUUGCCUAGUAGAGAAUGUGAAACAGGUUUUUUUUCUUGCUGGAGUGCAGGUCUGGUAUUGGCAAGAGAAAAACACCCAGGAAUAGCUCACUAGAGUGAAAGCCAAGAACUGGUUGCAAAGGUUUGUGUUGGUCUUUUUCUCUGUUACAUUCUGCAUUUUUCUCUUUCACAUUUAACAGUACACACCUCACCUUUAUCCUUCCAGCAUUUCUCAACUCUCCUCUCUGUGUCAAAAUAAUUUGCAAUAAAAAGGCAAUUUUUUUUUGUCCAAAACAGCUGUAAGUGAAAAUGUAUAGAUGGCUUACGUAGGCCAGCACAGACGAGGCAUGUACAUUUCAGAAAUAGUAGAGUAGUUUGAGCAGCAACUGUACUGACCUCAAAUGAUCACUUUUUUACUAUGGAAAUCAAGGCAAAUGAAAUAAUUGGAGUGAUUAUAAUCCAUGUUAAAAACUUUAGCAGUAAAACAAUUCAUGAAAAGAAAUUUUUAUUUUUCCCAAAGUCUAAAUUCUAAAAAAAAAUAAAAUUAAAAUAAACCAAUUAUUUUGAUGAUUUUCCCACCAUCCUCAAAAAUUACACAAAGGACAAAUUAAUCACUGUUUAGUAGCCCUGUAUGCAAAAUUAUUUUGCUGGAUAUAACCAGAACCUCACAAUGGUUGUAAAGCAAUAACAAUACCAAAAUGGUUUGGAGCAAGUUUUUUUUUUUUUAAUUUAAUUGUUUCAACAUUUUAUAAACCAUAAUACAAUGUUUCCUUAUAAGCUUACUGAACUUUAAAAUUCAAAGGAGUUCUGAGCUGAGAAAUAAUCUUUCUGUUUAGAAAAUACAAGAACUUCAUGUUCAGAUAAUUUAGAAACCUUUUCCCCUGUUUUGUCCAUGGGACCUUCAAACGAA